rnacentral:piRNA from 1 species
UCCCAAGAAUCGCUAGAGGUGGCUCAGUCC